rnacentral:rRNA from 1 species
UACGUAGGGUGCGAGCGUUGUCCGGAAUUACUGGGCGUAAAGGGCGCGUAGGCGGCGACUCAAGUUAGAUGUGAAAGUCCUGGGCUUAACCUGGGGACUGCAUUUGAUACUGGGUUGCUUGAAUUCGGGAGAGGAUAGCGGAAUUCCCAGUGUAGAGGUGAAAUUCGUAGAUAUUGGGAAGAACACCGGUGGCGAAGGCGGCUAUCUGGACCGACAUUGACGCUGAGGCGCGAAAGCGUGGGGAGCAAACAGG